UACGUAGGGGGCUAGCGUUGUCCGGAAUCAUUGGGCGUAAAGAGCGUGUAGGCGGCCCGGUAAGUCCGCUGUGAAAGUCGGGGGCUCAACCCUCGGAUGCCGGUGGAUACUGUCGGGCUCGAGUACGGAAGAGGCGAGUGGAAUUCCUGGUGUAGCGGUGAAAUGCGCAGAUAUCAGGAGGAACACCUAUUGCGAAGGCAGCUCGCUGGGACGUUACUGACGCUGAGACGCGAAAGCGUGGGGAGCGAACAGG
rnacentral:rRNA from 1 species